rnacentral:rRNA from 1 species
AUUGAACGCUGGCGGCAGGCCUAACACAUGCAAGUCGAGCGGUAGCACAGAGAAGCUUGCUUCUUGGGUGACGAGCGGCGGACGGGUGAGUAACGCGUGGGAAUCUACCUGGUAGUGGGGGACAACAGUCGGAAACGACUGCUAAUACCGCAUACGCCCCUUGGGGGAAAGUGGGGGAUCUUCGGAUCUCACGCUAUCAGAAGAGCCCGCGUCGGAUUAGCUGGUUGGUGGGGUAAGAGCCCACCAAGGCGAUGAUCCGUAGCUGGUCUGAGAGGAUGACCAGCCACACUGGGACUGAGACACGGCCCAGACUCCUACGGGAGGCAGCAGUGGGGAAUAUUGGACAAUGGGGGCAACCCUGAUCCAGCCAUGCCGCGUGUGUGAAGAAGGCCUUCGGGUUGUAAAGCACUUUCAGCUGUGAGGAAAGGUGAGUGGUUAAUACCCGCUUACUGUGACGUUAACAGCAGAAGAAGGACCGGCUAACUCCGUGCCAGCAGCCGCGGUAAUACGGAGGGUCCGAGCGUUAAUCGGAAUUACUGGGCGUAAAGCGCGCGUAGGUGGUUCAGUCAGUCAGAUGUGAAAGCCCCGGGCUCAACCUGGGAACUGCACCUGAUACUGCUGAGCUAGAGUAC